CGCAUCUGUGCAUGCAGCAUAUCAAUAAGCGGAGGAAAAGAAACUAACAAGGAUUCCCUUAGUAACGGCGAGUGAAGCGGGAAGAGCUCAAAUUUGAAAUCUUCAAGGUUUUACCUUGACGAAUUGUAGUUUAAAGAAGUGUUUUCUGUUGAAGUUUUGGUAAAAGUUCUUUGGAAUAGGACAUCAUAGAGGGUGAGAAUCCCGUAUUUGACCAUUAUUUUCAGCUGUGUGAUACACUUUCAAAGAGUCGGAUUGUUUGGGAAUGCAGUCCAAAAUGGGUGGUAAAUUUCAUCUAAAGCUAAAUAUUGGCGAGAGACCGAUAGCGAACAAGUACCGUGAGGGAAAGAUGAAAAGAACUUUGAAAAGAGAGUUAAACAGUACGUGAAAUUGUCAAAAGGGAAGCGUUUGACACCAGUGUUGUUUUCUCGAAAAUCAAUUAAAAAGAGUUAGAUUUUGUUGUGUAUUGACCUUAACAGCUUGCAUUUCAAUUUUCUUGCUUUUUUUAAUGCACUUUUCGUUCAACAAGUCAACAUCAGUUUCUUUUGUUGUAAAAAGGUCAUUGGAAGGUGGCUUUCUUUUCGGAGAAAGUGUUUAUAGCCUUUGACUCCUGCAAUCGGAGAGACUGAGGUCUGCAGCGUAGAUCCUUCGGGGUUAGAUACAUUUGUGCUAAGUUAUAGCUUUUUAUAGACAACUUGUUGACUAUGAUUAGUCUUGUAGCUUACUCGCUUAUGCUAUUUUACCUACGCUUAGGAUGUUGAACUCUAUCACACACAG
rnacentral:rRNA from 1 species